rnacentral:rRNA from 1 species
GGCGAACGCUGGCGGCGUGCUUAACACAUGCAAGUCGAACGGAAAGGCCCUGCUUGCAGGGUGCUCGAGUGGCGAACGGGUGAGUAACACGUGGGUGAUCUGCCCCUUACUUUGGGAUAAGCCUGGGAAACUGGGUCUAAUACUGGAUAGGACCAUGCUGUAGGUGGUGUGGUGGAAAGAUUAGUUUCGGUAAGGGAUGGGCUCGCGGCCUAUCAGCUUGUUGGUGGGGUAAUGGCCUACCAAGGCGUCGACGGGUAGCCGGCCUGAGAGGGUGGACGGCCACAUUGGGACUGAGAUACGGCCCAGACUCCUACGGGAGGCAGCAGUGGGGAAUAUUGCACAAUGGGCGCAAGCCUGAUGCAGCGACGCCGCGUGGGGGAUGACGGCCUUCGGGUUGUAAACUCCUUUCAGCCAUGACGAAGCCCUUGUGGUGACGGUAGUGGUAGAAGAAGCACCGGCUAACUACGUG